CGUAAUGCCAAAGUGACGCAGUGGCAAAUCAACUCCGAACUAGCGCUAACAACCGUUUCAAAGUUAAAACUGGACAAAGAAACAUAUUUCCCUGGAUGAAUAACAUCCAUUGUACGGCAGUUUCAUCCAACUGACUUUCUCCAUCCCUGCCUUCAAGAAGAAAGGACUACAUUGGGAUAAAGCUACGGAAUUUUGAUGCUUAACAUGGUGUUCAGUACAGAUGGCUCUCAGGAAAGAUGUUGGCCGUCACGUUAGCCUCCUGAAGAGGGCUGAAGUGGAAGCCAGCAGUUCAGUCGCACAGUUUGAGUCCUGGCUGUGAAUUUGGAGUCUUGUGACAGAAUCUGUUACAGUCAGCGCUCAGUUUGACCUUCCAACAGCUGGUGACGGCGCUCGCAGGUUUCCUGAAAUUCCCUGCUGCUGUGCUGUUGAGAUGCAACCAUUGUGCAUGAGUGGAUCAGCAUGGCUCAGCACGGGUAGUCUCGACCUAUAUACGUCCUCAACUGAUACCAAUAUAAUCACAUGCAAAUCACUCAAAUCCACAAUGGAACUCUUUGUGCAGUCGAGGCUUUUAUGUGCUGUAUAAAGAACAUGUAUCGCAUGUAAGAUUAAAUGUCUAUUUUUACAAGA